rnacentral:rRNA from 1 species
GAAUCUUCGGCAAUGGACGAAAGCCUGACGGAGCAACGCCGCGUGAGUGAUGAAGGCUUUCGGGUCGUAAAACUCUGUUGUUAGGGAAGAACAAGUGCUAGUUGAAUAAGCUGGCACCUUGACGGUACCUAACCAGAAAGCCACGGCUAACUACGUGCCAGCAGCCGCGGUAAUACGUAGGUGGCAAGCGUUAUCCGGAAUCAUUUGGCGUAAAGCGCGCGCAGGUGGUUUCUUAAGUCUGAUGUGAAAGCCCACGGCUCAACCGUGGAGGGUCAUUGGAAACUGGGAGACUUGGGUGCAGAAGAGGAAAGUGGAAUUCCAUGUGUAGCGGUGAAAUGCGUAGAGAUAUGGAGGAACACCAGUGGCGAAGGCGACUUUCUGGUCUGUAACUGACACUGAGGCGCGAAAGCGUGGGGAGCAAACAGG